rnacentral:sRNA from 1 species
GCUGGCAUGGUGGCACAUGCCUGUAAUCCCAGCUUCCCGGGAGGCUGAGGCAGAAGAAUCGCUAGUUCAAAGCCAGCCUCAGCAAAGGUGAAGCACUGAAGAACUCAAGUGAGACCCUGUCUCUA